rnacentral:lncRNA from 1 species
CCCUUGUUUAUGAUGACACAUUGACUGAAUAUAAUAUAUCUGAUAUCAAUUCUUUAAGCUGAAACAUACAUAUAAAUUCCCACAUCCAUAAAUUUAUGUUUUGUUUAGUGUUUAAUGAUUAUCUCAAUGAAAAUGCAAAUCUUUAGAUACAAAUUAUAUAGUCUCAAAAAUAAAAGUUUGUGUUUGACUUAUAUAAAAAUCUGUUGUUCCAAGGCUAUCAUAGCUACAAUAAGACAAAAAUAUAUACCAUCAUUGAAUGGAAAAAAUAUUAAAAUUUAUUUUGUUUGAUGCUAAGAUUAAGGAAGGCCGAAAUAACGUUAGGUCUGAUUGUAGAACAAAAUAGCCUACGACUAAGAACCUAAUAUGUAGCUGGUUUGUUAUGCCACUACCGAAAUACAAAAAUGUACCAAUAACCAAUCAGAAUUAAGUUGCUUGGAUCAAGUGUCAAGUAGCAUUUAUGAUUCAUUUAUAUAGAAAAUAAGUGCUGUUCAGAAAAAUGUAACUUUUAGGAAAAUCAUGUUUUAAAC